rnacentral:rRNA from 1 species
GGGUCAGUAGGUUGGUCGUGCCACCGGUACGUACUGGUCUCACUGAUUCCUCCUUCCUGAAGAAUCGUAAUGCCAUUAAUUUGGUGUUGCGGGGAAACAGGACUGUUGCUUUGAAAAAAUUAGAGUGUUUAAAGCAAGCUAACGCUUGAAUACAUUAGCAUGGAAUAAUGAAAUAGGACGAUCGAUCCUAUUUUGUUGGUUUCUAGGAUUGACGUA